UAAAAUCAGAAAUGGAGAACUAGGAGUUUAUUUAUAUCUCUGAGGAUAUGGCAGUAGUCCUGAGAAGAAAGUCAACAAGUGGGUGAGCCUGAGCUACCCUCUGCAGCAAAUUUUUCCAGUCUCAGUGCAUCUCAGCUGGAUGCAAUGCUCUGUGUGCAAGAUCAUCAUUGGAGUGCUGACGUGCAUGUGUGAAUUUAAGUGCAAUUAUUUACUUGUGUUCACUUGUGGGAGUUGAUUGAAUGGCCUGAGGAAAGCAGAUGAAUAAUGUAAGGAAAUCUUUGCAGAAUCACGCAAAGUUCUAAAUGGUUUUCAGUGCAACAUGAAACAUCCCUUACUCUUCUCUUCUUCUGAAUCCUCAGUUUCAUAUGCUUUCGUUGAAUUAUUUUUCUCCUUUCUCAUCAUCAAGUAAUCAACACUAAAUUGUUUAAAGGUGCUAUUACUGAACUUUCUGCUCUCUUCCAUGAAUUAAAA
rnacentral:lncRNA from 1 species